CUAAGAAUAUUCCGCAAUGGACGGAAGUCUGACGGAGCGACGCCGCGUGGAUGACGAAGGCCGAAAGGUUGUAAAGUUCUUUUGCUGGGGAAGAAUAACCGCAGGAGGGAAUGCCUGUGGGAUGACAAGAACCGGCGAAUAAGCCCCGGCCAACUACGUGCCAGCAGCCGCGGUAACACGUAGGGGGCGAGCGUUGUUCGGAAUUACUGGGCGUAAAGGGCAUGUAGGCGGCUUGGAAAGCCUGGCGUGAAAGUCUGCAGCUUAACUGCAGGGGUGCGCUGGGAACUGCUGAGCUUGAGUGACGGAGAGGGAGCUGGAAUUCCUGGUGUAGGGGUGAAAUCUGUAGAUAUCAGGAAGAACACCGAUGGCGAAGGCAAGCUCCUGGCCGAUGACUGACGCUGAGGUGCGAAAGUGUGGGGAUCAAACAGGAUUAGAUACCCUGGUAGUCCACACAGUCAACGAUGUGCACUAGGUGCUGGGGCGGUAGCUUCGGUGCCGGAGCGAACGUGGUAAGUGCACCGCCUGGGGAGUAUGCUCGCAAGGGUGAAACUUAAAUGAAUUGACGGGGGUCAUAGCUGUUUCCU
rnacentral:rRNA from 1 species